CUUUCAUCGUUGGCUAGUAAAUACUCUUCCAUGAAUUUUCCUCCUUGUCUUCGAAGUUGGAGGAAAAAAAGAAGGGUAAUUCAUCUUUCUUCUGUCCACUGA
rnacentral:lncRNA from 1 species